GCUUUGGCUCUUAAGACUUACAACAGCCCCUCCACUUGUGUACUUAAAACACCCUUCCUUCUUCAGAGAGCUUAAAGGAAUCUGGACUUUGCAAUCCAAGGAACAGAAUUAAAGCAGAUCCAAGCAGAUCUGGGUCCAUAUUUCAGCUUCCCACUUGUGCUCUGGUUUCCUUCAAAGAAGUUAUGUGUUGAAGAAGAGCCAUUUUUGAAUGAAUAGGAAGACUGUGAGCAGUAUCAGAGAUCAUUCUCAUAAGCCAGGAGGUAUAUUCCAACUAGGAUAAUAAGGAUGGAGCCACCAGUACAUGCAGAAGCCUGCAAUCUGAAAUAGGAGAUGACACACAUAGAAAUGUAGCCUGGCAAAAAACAUGGGGUGGCUUCAGCAGAGGAAAUGCUGCCAGCUGAAAACACCGGAUGUAAUCGAGACCACAAGAGACACAGACUUAGUUAUAAAUGUUGAACUAAAAAGAGGUUCCACUUUCCAGAGUGUUAAGAAGAAGAAGAAGAAGAGGAAGAAAAAAAAAACCCUAUGGAUUCUUACCAUCCCUGGCCACUUUCCUACCACUGUAGGCAGGAGAACAGAGGUUCUGGGUGUCAACCUACUAGACGGACUGGAACCUGUUUCACCUCCCCUUGACUAUGGAAUGGCCCUGUGCGACUGGACCAGAGGAAUGCAGAAGUAUGGCUGAGUGACUUCCAGAUCUGGGCCUGAAGAGGCUUUCAGCCAAUCACCCUGUAAAGAAAUCUGGGCUAGUCUGCCUUCCAGUUAGAACCCACAUGGAAAGAGAGGCUGUACUGAAAGAGAAACUACACAGAGGAGAAUGGAGGCACUCCAGCCAACAGCCAGACAACUGUGAGGCAUGUGAAUGAGGCCAUCUUGGACAUUCUGUCCCCAGCUGAGCUCCCAACUGCAUGCAGCUGCCUGAGUGACCCAGUCAAAGUCAAAUGGAGCAGAAGAGCCACCCAGCUGAUCCCAGCCAACCCAGGAAAAUGCAAAAUUUUAAGUCACUUUUUCAUUUAAGACAUUUUAAAGUUUUAAGUCAUUU